UAACUUCGACGAAACCCUGAAAACCGUGAAAAUCAAACUACAACUGAAGUGGUUACAAUAACUACCUGCAUUUAACUCUGUUUCACUGAACAACAUGACGUCAAAGUCACUGUGCAUUUUGUUCUUGAGCAUCCUCGCUCUUAAUGUUCUCCUGCCGGAGAACACAUUAACCACAAAUGCAGAAGAUGACUGCAGCCAACCCGAUGCAGCAAAUUGUGUAUACUAUAAAAACUAUUGUGAGGAUGUGGAUGGACCGUUUGCAGAUUAUAUUGCAGACUGUCCACACGUGUGUGAGAGGUGCCCCUGAGUAAG